GAUGAAGAACGCAGCGAAAUGCGAUAAGUAAUGUGAAUUGCAGAAUUCAGUGAAUCAUCGAAUCUUUGAACGCGUCUUGCGGUCCUUGGUAUUCUGAGGAGCAUGCCUGUUUGAGUGUCAUUAAAUUCUCAACUACACUGACUUUGAAUUGGUGUGGCUUGGAUUUGGGGGGAAAAUUGUUGUGGGCUUUUUGUAUAGUCUGCUCCCCUGAAAUUGAUUAGCGGUACCUUUGUGGAACUGUCUACAGGUGUGAUAAUUAUCUACAUCUUAAACAUCUGCUGGAAUGCUGCUUUCUAAACCUUACUUGUAUUGACAAUCUUGACCUCAAAUCAGGUAGGACUACCCGCUGAACUUAAGCAUAUCAAUAAGCGGAGGA
rnacentral:misc_RNA from 1 species